rnacentral:rRNA from 1 species
AGAUCAGUAUGUCGGUCGUGCUUCGGUACGUACUGUCAUUACUGGUUUCUCUCUUCUGACGAACCAUGAUGUCAUUAAUUUGGUGUCUUGGGAAAUCAGGACUGUUACUUUGAAAAAAUUAGAGUGUUUAAAGCAGGCAUACGCUUGAAUACAUUAGCAUGGAAUAAUGAAAUAGGACGUUUGAUUCUAUUUUGUUGGUUUCUAGGAUCGACGUAAUGAUUAAUAGGGAUAGUUG